GUUUGCGGAAGCAAAUACGACUCUCUCGCAAGCAGCAUGGUCCUAUUGGAUUACUACGGUUACAAUGCAGAGUGCAGACUGACGUGCGGCAACACGGUAAGCAAGUGUAGCAUACAUACAUUACAGGGGUGAAAGUUUGCAUACCGCUGUUUACCGGCUGUAAACUGCUGUUUACAGUGGCGGCUGCUGGUCUUUCAAGGAGGGGAAGCUCAUUUUUCUGGCCUACAUCAUAAUUGUAUUUGUUUAUUAGUAUGUAACAGAACAGAGUCGCCAAACACAACGGCAGUCGUUUAUAACAAAGACAAAAGUCGCUGAGGAUCGGUAAAGUCUCUGGAGCAGUUAAGAACAACGGAAUGAAUGACUUGGAAAAUGCUCUGGUAGAUGUUUUAUUCUUCAAGAUCGCUGAUUCUCUUGUUUAGCUGUCGAUCAAAAAAGGAUUUCGCCUCAGACAGCUCAUCCAAUCAUGAAUGCAGAAGCUUGGAGUCCGGGAGAAAGUCGGGACCGCCCUCUCGCCAUAGAACUCCAGUGAAGCUGGGCUUCCAUUGGGCGGGACAAAGCCCAGCAUUUAUCCAAUGAGCGUCUAGUUUCGCUGCUGGAACAACCCACUUUAAGCUUCCACAUUGAAGUCAGCAGAAGCCCAGCGUCCGACUGUUUGAAGCGCUGAGGCGCUGCGAGGAUGAAUGAGAAUGAAGUUAUGCCGGUUACCUGUGAUUAUCAGCUUCUUAUCACAGUGUCUGAACAAAAGUUGAAGGCUUUCUAGUGCGUAUUUAGUUAAUGAAAUGUACACACAGCCGUACGUAUUUCACCACUUUUUCUUUUUUUGGGGGGGUGACAUUUUAAGGGAAGCCGAGCUUCCCUUGCAGUCUUAGAGCAAUCGCCACUGGCUGUUUAUGUCUUCCUGGUACGGCAUACCGCUGCAGACCGGCUUACUCUCACCCCUGCUCUUUAAACAUAAAAAUAACCAUUGGAUUGGUGGAAAAUGACAAUACCCUGCUUGGACUGGUUGAAAGAGCCCCCUGUCUUCAAAUAUGGUCACUUCCGGGUUCAUGAAAACCAAGAUGGUGCCAGCCAGUAUCCUGAGCUCAAGGGUCUAAGAGGAGCGUAACCUUGGUGCCCAUUUAUCUUUCUUCUACAUACUCUUUACUGGAAAACAAAUUCUGCCCAUCAGACCGUCUAGAUCUGUUACACUAGAUGAUGCCUCUCUGGAUAUUUGACAAUGCCACAAGGAGGUCAGGGGAUAAGCACAGACUCUAUUAAGGUACUGUGCCUUUUUAUGACAUGAUUGAGCAAUACAGGAGGACUGAUUGUAUCUACAUUUACAAUAUAAUCAUACAGAAAGCAUCACUCAUACAUGGAAAAAAUAAAAAAUAUUAAUUUUCUUUUUUUUUUUGAUUGCUCUUCGGGGCCCCCUACUGGCCGUGGGGCCCUAAGCAGGGGCAUAGUUUACUUAUGCCUUGGGCCGGCUCUGCUCGGUAAUAUACUGUUUAAAAAAAAAAAGGUGAAGCAAUAUAGCAAAAAAAAUCCUUUAAUCUUAAAGUAAUUUGCACAUGACAUUCAUAUCCUUACAUAGUAUCUUUUUUCUUCCCACUCUGAGUGUAUCUUCAUUUCCGUACAGUGUAAAGUCAUUAUCACUCUGUCUUCUUCCUCUUCGAUUCUUCUCCCUUCACAGCUGGUUUUGAACUCCUCCAGGGCAGGAAGUUGUAGGAGACCAGAGCUGUAAGGAGGUACGUAGCCAUGCCUGUGUACCCCCCCAGCACCAGACACAGCGGCUGAGCCAACACGAACAGGCAGAACACAUUCAUGGACGCGUAAUCAUUCAGCUCCACCAGAUCAUCCUGAGUUGCUUUCAUCACCCCGAAAAAAUAAAUUAGAGCCACCGCUGGGUAGAAGGCCAGUUCCACCAUAAUGAGGACCGGAUACUGAGACGCAGUUGAAAACCUUCAGAUUUAACAUGAGCAUAUGUGUUGGAAGGUAGUUUGUGAGACCCAGUGAAGCACUGAAGCAGAUAUUUCCAAGACACACUCACCCAGAUCAGAUUCAUGCACACGCUUGGACAGUAAUCCCUCUGAAGUGUGAAGGUGGAUCUGACAGGAAAGCAGACACAGACCUUUGAUCCGUUUUAACAGCUCUGUCAAACAUUAUCUACCUCAUAUGCUCUUAUCAGAACACUUGACCAUUGAGCAUUCUUGAUUAAAGGUCUGCAUGCUAAUAAACCCUGUUUUCAUAGCACACUAGUGUGGCCUUCAAUCUUUGAAAACAUUCAUGAGUCAGUGUGAAAAUUGGCUUUUCAACAAUGUUUUCUGUUGGUACACCUUGAAUUUAAUAUUGCUACCUUAUCAUACGCUUGCAUCUGCAGAUAUAAGAGUUCUUGACAAAUGUGAGCAGGAGGCCAGGG